rnacentral:rRNA from 1 species
UUCAAUACUACCAUCAGUAUUCACCAAUCCCAUCUGAUUUUGGCAGCUAAACAGGGUUGCACCUGGUUAGCACUUGGAUGAGAGGCUAUCAGAGAAUAGGGAUCCCCAGGUAGGAC